rnacentral:rRNA from 1 species
GUAACAAGGUCUCCGUUGGUGAACCAGCGGAGGGAUCAUUACUGAGUUACCGCUCUAUAACCCUUUGUGAACAUACCUACAACUGUUGCUUCGGCGGGUAGGCCGUCCCCUGAAAAGGACGCCUCCCGGCCCGGAACGGACCCCCCGCGGGACCGGACCCGGCGCCCGCCGGAGGAUAACCAAACUCUAUUGCAACGACGUUUCUUCUGAGUGGCAUAAGCAAAAUAAUCAAAACUUUUAACAACGGAUCUCUUGGUUCUGGCAUCGAUGAAGAACGCAGCGAAAUGCGAUAAGUAAUGUGAAUUGCAGAAUUCAGUGAAUCAUCGAAUCUUUGAACGCACAUUGCGCCCGCCAGCAUUCUGGCGGGCAUGCCUGUUCGAGCGUCAUUUCAACCCUCAAGCUCUGCUUGGUGUUGGGGCUCUACGGUCGACGUAGGCCCUCAAAGGUAGUGGCGGACCCUCCCGGAGCCUCCUUUGCGUAGUAACAUUUCGUCUCGCACUGGGAUCCGGAGGGACUCUUGCCGUAAAACCCCCCAAUUUUCCAAAGGUGA